rnacentral:rRNA from 1 species
UACAGAGGUCUCAAGCGUUUGUUCGGAUUCAUUGGGCGUAAAGGGUGUGUAGGUGGCGCGCUAAGUCGGGUGUGAAAUUUCGGAGCUUAACUUCGAAACUGCAUUCGAUACUGGCGUGCUUGAGGACUGGAGAGGAGACUGGAAUUCAUGGUGUAGCAGUGAAAUGCGUAGAGAUCAUGAGGAAGACCAGUGGCGAAGGCGGGUCUCUGGACAGUUCCUGACACUGAGACACGAAGGCCAGGGGAGCAAACGGG